UUGAACGCUGGCGGCAGGCCUAACACAUGCAAGUCGAGCGGUAGCACAGAGAGCUUGCUCUCGGGUGACGAGCGGCGGACGGGUGAGUAAUGUCUGGGAAACUGCCUGAUGGAGGGGGAUAACUACUGGAAACGGUAGCUAAUACCGCAUAAUGUCGCAAGACCAAAGUGGGGGACCUUCGGGCCUCAUGCCAUCAGAUGUGCCCAGAUGGGAUUAGCUAGUAGGUGGGGUAACGGCUCACCUAGGCGACGAUCCCUAGCUGGUCUGAGAGGAUGACCAGCCACACUGGAACUGAGACACGGUCCAGACUCCUACGGGAGGCAGCAGUGGGGAAUAUUGCACAAUGGGCGCAAGCCUGAUGCAGCCAUGCCGCGUGUGUGAAGAAGGCCUUCGGGUUGUAAAGCACUUUCAGCGGGGAGGAAGGCGUUAAGGUUAAUAACCUUGGCGAUUGACGUUACCCGCAGAAGAAGCACCGGCUAACUCCGUGCCAGCAGCCGCGGUAAUACGGAGGGUGCAAGCGUUAAUCGGAAUUACUGGGCGUAAAGCGCACGCAGGCGGUCUGUCAAGUCGGAUGUGAAAUCCCCGGGCUCAACCUGGGAACUGCAUUCGAAACUGGCAGGCUAGAGUCUUGUAGAGGGGGGUAGAAUUCCAGGUGUAGCGGUGAAAUGCGUAGAGAUCUGGAGGAAUACCGGUGGCGAAGGCGGCCCCCUGGACAAAGACUGACGCUCAGGUGCGAAAGCGUGGGGAGCAAACAGGAUUAGAUACCCUGGUAGUCCACGCCGUAAACGAUGUCGAUUUGGAGGUUGUGCCCUUGAGGCGUGGCUUCCGGAGCUAACGCGUUAAAUCGACCGCCUGGGGAGUACGGCCGCAAGGUUAAAACUCAAAUGAAUUGACGGGGGCCCGCACAAGCGGUGGAGCAUGUGGUUUAAUUCGAUGCAACGCGAAGAACCUUACCUGGUCUUGACAUCCACACAACUUUCCAGAGAUGGAUUGGUGCCUUCGGGAACUGUGAGACAGGUGCUGCAUGGCUGUCGUCAGCUCGUGUUGUGAAAUGUUGGGUUAAGUCCCGCAACGAGCGCAACCCUUAUCCUUUGUUGCCAGCGGUUCGGCCGGGAACUCAAAGGAGACUGCCAGUGAUAAACUGGAGGAAGGUGGGGAUGACGUCAAGUCAUCAUGGCCCUUACGACCAGGGCUACACACGUGCUACAAUGGCAUAUACAAAGAGAAGCGACCUCGCGAGAGCAAGCGGACCUCAUAAAGUAUGUCGUAGUCCGGAUUGGAGUCUGCAACUCGACUCCAUGAAGUCGGAAUCGCUAGUAAUCGUAGAUCAGAAUGCUACGGUGAAUACGUUCCCGGGCCUUGUACACACCGCCCGUCACACCAUGGGAGUGGGUUGCAAAAGAAGUAGGUAGCUUAACCUUCGGGAGGGCGCUUACCACUUUGUGAUUCAUGACUGGGGUG
rnacentral:rRNA from 1 species